rnacentral:rRNA from 1 species
GAUGAACGCUAGCGGCAGGCCUAAUACAUGCAAGUCGAACGCUCAGUAGCAAUACUGGGAGUGGCGCACGGGUGCGUAACGCGUACACAAUCUACCUCUAAGCGGGGGACACCUCCUGGAAACGGGGAUUAAUACCGCAUAAUAUGCCGAAGUCGCAUGACUUUGGUAUUAAAGCAGCAAUGCACUUAGAGAUGAGUGUGCGUCCCAUUAGGUAGUUGGUGAGGUAACGGCUCACCAAGCCUAUGAUGGGUAGCCGGUCUGAGAGGAUGGUCGGCCACACGGGCACUGAGACACGGGCCCGACUCCUACGGGAGGCAGCAGUAAGGAAUAUUGGUCAAUGGUGGAAACACUGAACCAGCCAUGCCGCGUGGAGGAAUAAGGUCCUACGGAUUGUAAACUCCUUUUGACGAGGAAGAAAAGUGUUAGAUUUAUCUAAUUUUGACGGUACUCGUAGAAUAAGCACCGGCUAACUCCGUGCCAGCAGCCGCGGUAA